UAGGGAAUCUUCCACAAUGGACGAAAGUCUGAUGGAGCAACGCCGCGUGAGUGAAGAAGGGUUUCGGCUCGUAAAACACUGUUGUAAGAGAAGAAUGACAUUGAGAGUAACUGUUCAAUGUGUGACGGUAUCUUACCAGAAAGGAACGGCUAAAUACGUGCUAG
rnacentral:rRNA from 1 species